GACGAACGCUGGCGGCGUGCCUAAUACAUGCAAGUAGAACGCUGAAGGAGGAGCUUGCUCUUCUGGAUGAGUUGCGAACGGGUGAGUAACGCGUAGGUAACCUGCCUGGUAGCGGGGGAUAACUAUUGGAAACGAUAGCUAAUACCGCAUAACAGUAGAUGUUGCAUGAGAUUUGCUUAAAAGGUGCAAUUGCACCACUACCAGAUGGACCUGCGUUGUAUUAGCUAGUUGGUGGGGUAACGGCUCACCAAGGCGACGAUACAUAGCCGACCUGAGAGGGUGAUCGGCCACACUGGGACUGAGACCCGGCCCAGACUCCUACGGGAGGCAGCAGUAGGGAAUCUUCGGCAAAGGACGGAAGUCUGACCGAGCAACGCCGCGUGAGGGAAGAAGGGUUUCGGAUCGUAAAGCUCUGUUGUAAGAGAAGAACGAGUGUGAGAGUGGAAAGUUCACACUGUGACGUUAUCUUACCAGAAAGGGACGGCUAACUACGUG
rnacentral:rRNA from 1 species